GGGCUGCAGUAUUUUGACUGUACAAAGGUAGCAUAAUCAAUAGUCUCUUAAUUGGUGACUUGUAUGAAAGAUUGGAUGAAAUAUAUACUGUCUCUAAUUAAUUUAUAGAAAUUAAUUUUUUAGUAAAAAAGCUAAAAUAAUUUUAAAAGACGAGAAGACCCUAUAGAGUUUAAUAAUUUAUUUAAUUAUACUUGUUAUAUAAUUUUUAAAAUUAAAAUUAAAUGAAUUAUUUUGUUGGGGUGAUAGAAAAAUUAAAUUAACUUUUUUUAAUUGUUAACAUUAAUUUAUGAUUAAAUGAUCCAUUGAUAAUGAUUAAAAGAAAAAAUUACCUUAGGGAUAACAGCGUAAUUUUUUUUUUUAGUUCAAAUAGGAAAAAAAGUUUGCGACCUCGAUGUUGGAUUAA
rnacentral:rRNA from 2 species